rnacentral:rRNA from 1 species
AUUGAACGCUGGCGGCGUGCUUAACACAUGCAAGUCGAUCGGUAACAGGUGUAGCAAUACAUGCUGACGAGAGGCGGACGGGUGAGGAACGCUUGGGAAUCUGCCUAUCAGCGGGGGACAACCCGGGGAAACCCGGGCUAAUACCGCAUACGCUCUACGGAGGAAAGCCGGGGACCGCAAGGCCUGGCACUGAUAGAUGAGCCCAAGUCGGAUUAGCUAGUUGGCGGGGUAACGGCCCACCAAGGCGACGAUCCGUAGCUGGUCUGAGAGGACGAUCAGCCAAACCGGAACUGAGACACGGGCCGGACUCCUACGGGAGGCAGCAGUGGGGAAUAUUGGACAAUGGGCGAAAGCCUGAUCCAGCGACGCCGCGUGGGUGAAGAAGGCCUGCGGGUUGUAAAGCCCUUUCGGUAGGGACGAAAGCUCUCGACCUAACACGUCGGGAGGUUGACUUAACCUACAAAAGAAGCACCGGCUAACUCUGUGCCAGCAGCCGCAGUAAUAC